rnacentral:rRNA from 1 species
GACGAACGCUGGCGGCGUGCUUAACACAUGCAAGUCGAACGGAAAGGCCCUGCUUUUGUGGGGUGCUCGAGUGGCGAACGGGUGAGUAACACGUGAGUAACCUGCCCUUGACUUUGGGAUAACUUCAGGAAACUGGGGCUAAUACCGGAUAGGAGCUCCUGCUGCAUGGUGGGGGUUGGAAAGUUUCGGCGGUUGGGGAUGGACCCGCGGCUUAUCAGCUUGUUGGUGGGGUAGUGGCUUCCCAAGGCUUUGACGGGUCGCCGACAUGAGAGGGUGAACAGGCUCCAUGGGACUGAGGUAGGGCGCAGUGUCGAACAGGAGACAGCAGUGGGAAGCCUGACACAGUGGUCGGGCGCCUGAGGAGGCAGCGCCGCGUGCGUGAAGCCGGCUUUCUGGUAGUAAAAAGCAUUCGCCUGUGACGAAGCGUUAGUGACGGUAAUGAGUGAAGAAGCACCGGCUAACUACGUG